rnacentral:tRNA from 1 species
UGCGGGGUGGAGCAGUGGUAGCUCGUCGGGCUCAUAACCCGAAGGCCGUCGGUUCGAGUCCGGCCCCCGCUA